rnacentral:tRNA from 1 species
CGGGCUGUGGCGCAGCUUGGUAGCGCACUUGACUGGGGGUCAAGUGCGGUAGCGGCUGGUUCAGCCUGA